CCUUCGAUAGCUCAGUUGGUAGAGCGGUGGACUGUGAAUCCAUAGGUCGCUGUUUCAAAUCCGACUCGAAGGA
rnacentral:tRNA from 1 species